AUUUCUUUACUAACACCUUCCAUCUCGGAACUUUCCCCCCUUUUUCUGACCACGACAUAUAGGCACAAGAAGACUGUGCAGUACGAUCAAGCUAAAUCUAAAACCUACAAGGCGAUUCAAGAAUCAGAACAUGGAGACUUCCACACUCAAGAGAUAUCGAAGCCAGUGCAACCAAAAGUAUUCACGCCUGUCCAAGGAACGAUAGAAAAAGCUCCGAUUAGCAAUGGCCAUGGACAUCAAAAUCAUAAUAAGUUGACAGCUCCCUAUCAUCCAAAUCCAGGAC